AGAUCCUUCAGCGUCGUAUCAAUCGGUUUGAUAAACAGGCUGUUAUUCACCAGAUUGACAUCGCCUUUGGCGGUGGUCAGCUCGCCAUCCAGCGGAAUAUCAAGAUGUAAGCGAGCGCUCACAUUCCCAUCCAGCUGGAGCUCAUCCAGUGCCGAACCCAGCGUCUCUUUCAGCGGCGUCUCUUUAAAAUAGGGGCCGACAUCUUUCCCCGGACCGUUGAUAUCGGCAUCAAUAAGCAGUUUUUCCCGCGAAUAAUCAGGGAUAACCGCAUCAAGGUUGCUGGCGGUGACGUUACCCAGCAUGACCUUAUCAGCCUUCAUCCACAAACCGUUAUUGAUAAAGUCGAGGUUGAUAUCCAGCCCGGUUAAUGCCGGCCAGUCCGGUUGAAAGGCAAAAGUGGCGUUGGUUAAUGGCACA
rfam:Raoultella planticola strain GCSL-DIFS-295 CFSAN029441_contig1774, whole genome shotgun sequence.